rnacentral:rRNA from 1 species
GGGUUGUGAGGUUAAGCGACUAAGCGUACACGGUGGAUGCCCUGGCAGUCAGAGGCGAUGAAGGACGUGCUAAUCUGCGAUAAGCGUCGGUGAGGUGAUAUGAACCGUUAUAACCGGCGAUUUCCGAAUGGGGAAACCCAGUGUGUUUCGACACACUAUCAUUAACUGAAUCCAUAGGUUAAUGAGGCGAACCGGGGAACUGAAACAUCUAAGUACCCCGAGGAAAAGAAAUCAACCGAGAUUCCCCCAGUAGCGGCGAGCGAACGGGGAGGAGCCCAGAGCCUGAAUCAGUGUGUGUGUUAGUGGAAGCGUCUGGAAAGGCGCGCGAUACAGGGUGACAGCCCCGUACACAAAAAUGCACAUAUUGUGAGCUCGAUGAGUAGGGCGGGACACGUGGUAUCCUGUCUGAAUAUGGGGGGACCAUCCUCCAAGGCUAAAUACUCCUGACUGACCGAUAGUGAACCAGUACCGUGAGGGAAAGGCGAAAAGAACCCCGGCGAGGGGAGUGAAAAAGAACCUGAAACCGUGUACGUACAAGCAGUGGGAGCCUCUUAAUGGGGUGACUGCGUACCUUUUGUAUAAUGGGUCAGCGACUUAUAUUCUGUAGCAAGGUUAACCGAAUAGGGGAGCCGAAGGGAAACCGAGUCUUAACUGGGCGUUAAGUUGCAGGGUAUAGACCCGAAACCCGGUGAUCUAGCCAUGGGCAGGUUGAAGGUUGGGUAACACUAACUGGAGGACCGAACCGACUAAUGUUGAAAAAUUAGCGGAUGACUUGUGGCUGGGGGUGAAAGGCCAAUCAAACCGGGAGAUAGCUGGUUCUCCCCGAAAGCUAUUUAGGUAGCGCCUCGUGAAUUCAUCUCCGGGGGUAGAGCACUGUUUCGGCAAGGGGGUCAUCCCGACUUACCAACCCGAUGCAAACUGCGAAUACCGGAGAAUGUUAUCACGGGAGACACACGGCGGGUGCUAACGUCCGUCGUGAAGAGGGAAACAACCCAGACCGCCAGCUAAGGUCCCAAAGUCAUGGUUAAGUGGGAAACGAUGUGGGAAGGCCCAGACAGCCAGGAUGUUGGCUUAGAAGCAGCCAUCAUUUAAAGAAAGCGUAAUAGCUCACUGGUCGAGUCGGCCUGCGCGGAAGAUGUAACGGGGCUAAACCAUGCACCGAAGCUGCGGCAGCGACACUAUGUGUUGUUGGGUAGGGGAGCGUUCUGUAAGCCUGUGAAGGUGUACUGUGAGGUAUGCUGGAGGUAUCAGAAGUGCGAAUGCUGACAUAAGUAACGAUAAAGCGGGUGAAAAGCCCGCUCGCCGGAAGACCAAGGGUUCCUGUCCAACGUUAAUCGGGGCAGGGUGAGUCGACCCCUAAGGCGAGGCCGAAAGGCGUAGUCGAUGGGAAACAGGUUAAUAUUCCUGUACUUGGUGUUACUGCGAAGGGGGACGGAGAAGGCUAUGUUGGCCGGGCGACGGUUGUCCCGGUUUAAGCGUGUAGGCUGGUUUUCCAGGCAAAUCCGGAAAAUCAAGGCUGAGGCGUGAUGACGAGGCACUACGGUGCUGAAGCGACAAAUGCCCUGCUUCCAGGAAAAGCCUCUAAGCAUCAGGUAACAUCAAAUCGUACCCCAAACCGACACAGGUGGUCAGGUAGAGAAUACCAAGGCGCUUGAGAGAACUCGGGUGAAGGAACUAGGCAAAAUGGUGCCGUAACUUCGGGAGAAGGCACGCUGAUAUGUAGGUGAAGCGACUUGCUCGUGGAGCUGAAAUCAGUCGAAGAUACCAGCUGGCUGCAACUGUUUAUUAAAAACACAGCACUGUGCAAACACGAAAGUGGACGUAUACGGUGUGACGCCUGCCCGGUGCCGGAAGGUUAAUUGAUGGGGUUAGCGGUAACGCGAAGCUCUUGAUCGAAGCCCCGGUAAACGGCGGCCGUAACUAUAACGGUCCUAAGGUAGCGAAAUUCCUUGUCGGGUAAGUUCCGACCUGCACGAAUGGCGUAAUGAUGGCCAGGCUGUCUCCACCCGAGACUCAGUGAAAUUGAACUCGCUGUGAAGAUGCAGUGUACCCGCGGCAAGACGGAAAGACCCCGUGAACCUUUACUAUAGCUUGACACUGAACAUUGAGCCUUGAUGUGUAGGAUAGGUGGGAGGCUUUGAAGUGUGGACGCCAGUCUGCAUGGAGCCGACCUUGAAAUACCACCCUUUAAUGUUUGAUGUUCUAACGUGGGCCCCUUACCGGGGUUGCGGACAGUGUCUGGUGGGUAGUUUGACUGGGGCGGUCUCCUCCUAAAGAGUAACGGAGGAGCACGAAGGUUGGCUAAUCCUGGUCGGACAUCAGGAGGUUAGUGCAAUGGCAUAAGCCAGCUUGACUGCGAGCGUGACGGCGCGAGCAGGUGCGAAAGCAGGUCAUAGUGAUCCGGUGGUUCUGAAUGGAAGGGCCAUCGCUCAACGGAUAAAAGGUACUCCGGGGAUAACAGGCUGAUACCGCCCAAGAGUUCAUAUCGACGGCGGUGUUUGGCACCUCGAUGUCGGCUCAUCACAUCCUGGGGCUGAAGUAGGUCCCAAGGGUAUGGCUGUUCGCCAUUUAAAGUGGUACGCGAGCUGGGUUUAGAACGUCGUGAGACAGUUCGGUCCCUAUCUGCCGUGGGCGCUGGAGAACUGAGGGGGCUGCUCCUAGUACGAGAGGACCGGAGUGGACGCAUCACUGGUGUUCGGGUUGUCAUGCCAAUGGCACUGCCCGGUAGCUAAAUGCGGAAGAGAUAAGUGCUGAAAGCAUCUAAGCACGAAACUUGCCCCGAGAUGAGUUCUCCCUGACUCCUUGAGAGUCCUGAAGGAACGUUGAAGACGACGACGUUGAUAGGCCGGGUGUGUAAGCGCAGCGAUGCGUUGAGCUAACCGGUACUAAUGAACCGUGAGGCUUAACCUUACAACGCCGAAG